ensembl:lncRNA
AUGCGAUUCCUGCUCCGUCUCAGUGUGUUGUCGUUGCACGGGCAAUGGCGGACGGAGCCCGAGCAUUUGUUUGAAAAACGUACGUUUUGCACAAAUAUACUCGAAUAUCGAUCGGCCAGUCAAAGCGUUCAGCUCGCACGUGUGUUUUUGGCCCUGAUCAGAUCUGCGCCCGUCAGCAUGGAUGUGAAUCUGACCAUCUCUCUGAUGCGGGGCCAGAUGGGCGCUGUUAUCGAGAAAGCCGUGAACGUCGCGGUGGAGACCGUGUUAGGAGAGAUGAUCCGGGUGGUCGGGCUCAAAUUUGAGGAGAUCAAACGUGAUAUGACAGCUAAAGAGAAGGAGAAUGAGAACAUCAGGAGGAUGUUGGAGGCGUCCCGCUGUCAGAUGAAAACCAUGCGCAAGUACAUCAGCGUCCUGUCUGCUAAAGACCCCAACCAUAGACUGUAUCAGGGAGAUGGAGACAUGGCUACAACAUCCACAGGGAUGCACUGCAGAAGAGGGCCGACGAGCACUGUGUCAGUGUGUGCCACAACCCCAGUCCCCUGUCCCAGACCCAGACCCUCUGAGCCAGCCCCUGUAGCUGGACCCUCAUGGGUGAGACAGCAGAUGCACAUGUCCAAAGAAACAGUAAGAAGUGAGAAUCACAUUGCUGAUGUCCAUAUUGAAGAGAUCCAUGGAUCAUCAGUUCAUAAAGCUAUGUCAGAUGUGAGUCCAGGGAGUUUUGAAAAUAAUCAAUGUACAGCUGCAGAGAGGGCUAUUCUCGAGUCACAGGGAGAAAUGGACUGGAAAAUCAAUCACCUGACUGCACUGGUUCAGUGUCUUGUGGGGAACAGGUGCUUUGUGCCUCCACUUCAAAUGGAGGAUGAGGAAGAGGAUUGUGUCUUGCCUUUGAUGUCAAUGGAGGAUCUUGACCAAUUGGAGCAAAGACUUAUGGAUAGAGGGAUGAUGCAAAAAUUGGUAAGAUUCGUUGGAAUUAUGCAGUUAAAGAAGUGA